GUGCUCGCUUUGGCAGCACAAACACUAAAAUUGGAACGAUACAGAGAAGAUAGAUUAGCAUGGCCCCUGCGCAAGCAUGACACGCAAAUCCUGAAGCGUUCCAUAUUUUU